GACGAACGCUGGCGGCGUGCUUAACACAUGCAAGUCGAACGGAAAGGCCCUGCUUGUGUGGGGUGCUCGAGUGGCGAACGCGUAAGUAACACGUAAGUAACCUGCCCUUCACUUUGGGAUAACUUCAGGAAACUGGAGCUACUACCGGAUAGGAUCUCCUCCUGGAUGGUGGGGGUUGGAAAGUUUCGGCUGUUGGGGAUGGACUGGCGGCUUAUCAGCUUGUUGGUGGGGUAGUGCCUUACCCAGGCGUUGAGGGGUAGCCGGCCUGAGAGGGUGACCGGCGAACUUGGGACUGAGGUGCGGCCGAAGUGCGUACGGGAGGAAGAAGUGGGGAAGAUUGAACAAUGGACGGAGGCCUGAUGAAGAAAGGCCGCGGGCGGGAGAACGGCUUGCGGGGAGAAAACAGCUUCCGCCUGUGACGAAGCGGGAGUGACGGUACUGGGUGAAGAAGCACCGGCUAACUACGUG
rnacentral:rRNA from 1 species